AGACUAAAUGAGACACCAGAAAAGGAUACUGCCCAGUCUAACGUACUGCCUGCGGGGUAUACAGUAUGCUGCAUAUUGCAGCCUUUGUGGGCUGUCAUCUAUGCUUGGGUGAAUAUUGGAGAUGCAGCUGUCUUUGAGGCAUUGCUGCUCUUGUAUCUGUUUUUUACUGGUUUUUGGCUGGAUGAUCCUGAUGACAGCAGGACUUCUUGGGAAGACAGGGUGAGUUGUCGACCAGACAAUGGAGAGUAAAUUUCAAGAGGGGAAAGCAUUAAAAUUGCUGCUGAGAAAGCACCUGUAAUUGCUUACUUCAGUGGAUACUUGCCACUGAAGAGAUACCGCCUGAACUACACUUGUACAAUAGGAAAGGUGUCCUGAAGGCAAAAGUAACAUCCCUAGGAGGCUCUGUCUUAUGAAAAUUACCUUCCUUUAAACAAAGAAUGUCUACACUGAAGGCAUUCCUUAAGCCUGGGAGACAACUGCCUAAUAAAGUGGUUCUUCAGGGUUACUAUGCUGAUACUUGGUCCAAGAGAGCUAGUCUACAUGUUGAGCUGAUUGUGGAACUUUGGAACAUCAUCUCUGUG
rnacentral:lncRNA from 1 species